CGACCUUAUCCCUUUGGGCCUUCCCCUUUCGUUCCCGUCAGUUCCUUCUGUCCCGCUGCCUCCCGUCCUCUAAUCCUCCAUCCUCCUCCCCAUCCUCUCUCACAGAUCUCAAUCCACCUCCAAAAAUGGAUUCGCUAGGGCUUAUAUUCACUGCCAUCGGAGAAGAAGGGGUGGGAUUAGGGUCGUUAGGGUUUGGGGCUGCAUGUCGCAGCAGCGGAAUUAAUUGGAGGUUGCAGCUUGCAGAGGGAAGCCCGGCUAGCGUGGUAGUGGUGGUAGUUGGUGUUGCAGGUCCUGCUUGCCUCUCUCGCUCCGGCUGCGAUUUGCCUCCCCCUUCUCCUCACGCAAGCCUGACCAUGGACCAGGAAACCACGGCUCCUCGAGCUAUGGCCACCGCGAGAGCAACCCGCACACGCCGUCCUCGAUGCCGAACAUAGAGAGCGCUGGCUCAGCCUCAAUGCUGGGACAGAGGAGGCCAUGGAGGCUGCGAUAUUGAUCUCAGGGUUUGUUGAUGGCCACGUGCUCACAUGUCCAUGUCAAACUUCAUCUUUGGCUACCACAUUAGGUGUGUGCUGCUUCAGCAACUAAAGUAGUGUUUCCUUGAGCCUAGCUUGUCUUUCUCACAUUGAUAGUUUGGCACAGUUCUGGUUCUCAUUCCACCACUGCAUGGUAUUUGAAUAAAGAACACAACCAAUGUAUACCCUUUGAUUCGACAAAAGUACUUUUGUUACUCUGGAGUUAGCUUUAAAAGGUACUACUGUUUGCAUAGGUUUGUCCAAAAUGCUUAUAAAUAAUUGAUGGGCAAGUAUGCAUACUACAUGUUUGUAAACAAAUUAUUAUAUCUAAUGUUUAUUUCAUUCUA